UACGGAGGUGGCAAGCGUUGUUCGGAAUUACUGGGCGUAAAGGGCGCGUAGGCGGCUAGGCAAGUCAGGUGUGAAAGCCCCGAGCUUAACUCGGGAACUGCAUCUGAAACUGCUGGGCUUGAGUUCUGGAGGGGGUAGUGGAAUUCCCAGUGUAGCGGUGAAAUGCGUAGAUAUUGGGAGGAACACCUGCGGCGAAGGCGGCUACCUGGACAGAAACUGACGCUGAGGCGCGAAAGCUAGGGGAGCGAACAGG
rnacentral:rRNA from 1 species